UCUGUCGUCGCCGGCCCGUGCUCGACUUCUCUUCUCUUCUCCUUCUUCCUCCUCGAGUCCUAGUUUCCCUUCGUCUCCUCCCCUCCCUCUCCCAGACGCCGGUUAUUCUUCCCCUUCCCCGCGAGUACAAAGACUCACCACCUCUCCCCUUCUCCCGAGCUUUGCCCUAGCCUCUCUGCAGUCCGCCGCCAUCGAACGGAGCAACGCUGGCCACCAGAUCUCUCCGGCGUGCCCUAGAUUGGGUCCAUAGUCGUCGAACCCUAAGCCAUCGACAUCGUCUCCUUAUCUUCCUCCGAUCACAGCCGAUGCCGACGCCCUUCCUCUCACGAUCUCUCUCUCUCUCUCUCUCGCACGCACGAAGUCGCCCCCUCUCAGCCGAUCGUCGGUCGCCCGCUCCUGUUGCCAACUAACGGCGACCUUCCCCUUCGCUGGAGACUAGAUCGGUGACGCAGCCGACCCUUUGCUCAGUCGCGUGCCCUAGCCUCCAACCUUGUGCCCUACCCUCCAUAUCCGACGCCGGAAAGGGGCUUGCUACACUGAUCUUCGCCAGGGCAGGCCGCGACCAGCACCACGGCGACCACGAGUUGCCACCAUCGACUCACGACCAAUCGUCGCAGCCACGUCCGAGUCCUAGUUGGUUAGAGUUGAUCGUGAGUGGUUUUUCCAGACAGUUGCUUUCUUCUUCAGUGCUCUGGUAUUGAUCUACUGACGGCAACCUAUUCCUUGUUACCGUUAGGCCUAGCCGUCGGAGAGGGAACAACCAAUUGGGUAAGAUUUGGGGUAUCCGAUUGCUGUAUUCCAAUCUGAUAGUGUUGUCUCUUGGUUUCCAGCAGCUACCCUUCUCCGGCAGUAACAUCCCUGGCUGUGAGUUUGAGGUUGAGGCCGUCAGGAGGUUCCAGUCGCUAGUCCUCACUUCGCGUCGCGUCAGUUUUCUACUCUUUAGUCUUUUGGUUCCUUGUUACAUUUUAUAUAUAUGUGAUGUGUAUGAUUUGUACUCGAGGAAUUUUUAUCGAGCUUUGGGUUUACUACUUAUUUUUCGUUGCGA